UUUCUGCCCCAGGCUGGGAUCCCGCCGCGAUCAGGAAGGCGGCGGAUCCAUGGCGAGGCUGGUCCAUUGCACUUUGGAGACCGGCUGACCCAUGUGGCAACUCCGAAUGGGGUUGACCAACAGCUAAAUUUUUGGGUUAGGGGAUAGCAUUCGUGCUUCCCCGC
rnacentral:snRNA from 1 species